CCGAUUUCGUUCCGGUAAAUGUGUUUUGCUUA
rnacentral:scRNA from 1 species